rnacentral:lncRNA from 1 species
UUGAAGGCAAUGGAAGUAUGUUGGGCAACUUACGAAGUGGUGGUAGUUCUAAGUUCUGGGAUUGAAGGAAAUGGUGGUGGUUCUGGGAUUAAAGGAAGUGGUGACAAUGGAGGUGGCAAUGGUACCGGUAAAUAUGCAAAUGGCAAUGGUACUAGUAAAGAUGGAGGUGGCAAUGGUAUUGGUGGCAAUGGAGGUGGAACUUGCUGAAGAUUUCGGGUUGCUAGGCUAACCUCCAUGCUUGAAAAACCCAAGGAAAUGAAGCAAGCUAAUAAAAGGAAA